UACAGAGGGUGCAAGCGUUUGUUCGGAAUUAUUGGGCGUAAAGCGCGUGUAGGCGGCUUUGCAAGUCGGGUGUGAAAGCCCUCAGCUUAACUGAGGAAGUGCGCCCGAAACUGCUUUGCUUGAGUGCCGGAGAGGAUGGCGGAAUUCCCCAAGUAGAGGUGAAAUUCGUAGAUAUGGGGAGGAACACCGGUGGCGAAGGCGGCCAUCUGGACGGUAACUGACGCUGAGACGCGAAAGCGUGGGUAGCAAACAGG
rnacentral:rRNA from 1 species